rfam:Diaporthe ampelina DA_912_scaffold_v01_19, whole genome shotgun sequence.
GGUGAGAUGGCCGAGUUGGUUAUGGCGCCAGGUUAAGGUAAACUUAACAUCUAUUCCUGGUGGAGCAAUCCUCCUGGGUUCAAGUCCCAGUCUCAUCA